rnacentral:rRNA from 1 species
CGUAGGGGGCUAGCGUUGUCCGGAUUUAUUGGGCGUAAAGAGCGUGUAGGCGGCCAAGUAAGUCCGGUGUGAAGACUCGAGGCUUAACCUCGAGAUGUCAUCGGAAACUAUUUGGCUAGAGUCCGGAAGAGGAGAGUGGAAUUCCUGGUGUAGCGGUGAAAUGCGCAGAUAUCAGGAAGAACACCUAUGGCGAAAGCAGCUCUCUGGGACGGUACUGACGCUGAGACGCGAAAGCGUGGGGAGCGAACAGGAUUAGAUACCCUGGUAGUCCACGCCGUAAACGAUGGGUGCUAGGUGUGGGCGGUGUCGACUCCGUCCGUGCCGAAGCUAACGCAUUAAGCACCCCGCCUGGGGAGUACGGCCGCAAGGCUA